AUGGAUUUGAGUAAUCAUAAUAUGUUUAAUCUCUUUCUUUCUUCUCACCCGCCGGCUAGUUGGUAUUAUUUUUCUUUACACUCUAAUCUCAUAUCUCUAUCUAAAUUUAUCUUUUUUUCUCUAAACUUUAACUUUUUUUCUCUCUCUAAACUUUAGCUAUUUCUCCCUCUCUUUUUCUAAAAUCUCAACCCUCUCAUUCUCUCUAACCUCGACUCUAUUUCUCUUCCUAUUUCUUUAAUUAUGCUCGCUCUUUCUAACCUAUAUUCUCUCUCUCUCUUUUCUAAAAAGAUGUUGAAAUUUUUCAUAGUAUUAUUUAAAAUUAAUUAAAAAUAAUAAUUGUAUAAUUUUUCGUAAUCUCAAAUAAUAUGACUAAAUAAUAUGACCGUACGAACAAAACACUGAAAUAUUACAUUCUUAAUAAUGGG
rnacentral:lncRNA from 1 species